rnacentral:lncRNA from 1 species
CAUUUAAAAUUUUUAAGCUAAAAAAGCAUGAUUUGAAGUAGCCUCUCAAGUAGCUGAGAUUACAGGCGCAUACGACUACACCCAACUAAUUAUAAAUUAAUUUAUUUUUUUUGUAGAGACAGGGUUUCACUUUUGUUGCCCAGGCUAGUCUUGAACUCCUGGGCUCAAGCGAUCCAUCAGAUUGUUGCUGUGUCUGUGUAGAAAGAAGUAGACAUGGGAGACGCCAUUUUGUUCUGUACUAAGAAAAAUUCUUCUGCCUUGGGAUGCCGUUGAUCUAUGACCUUACCCCCAACCCUGUGCUCUCUGAAACAUGUGCUGUGUCCACUCAGGGUUAAAUGGAUUGAGAGCGGUGCAAGAUGUGCUUCGUUAAACAGAUGCGUGA